GACGAAGGGGGCUAGCGUUGUUCGGAAUUACUGGGCGUAAAGCGCGCGUAGGCGGCUUUGCAAGUCAGGGGUGAAAUCCCACGGCUCAACCGUGGAAUUGCCUUUGAAACUGCAGAGCUGGAGUGUCGGAGGGGAUAGCGGAAUUGCUAAUGUAGCGGUGAAAUGCGUAGAUAUUAGCAGGAACACCGGUGGCGAAGGCGGCUAUCUGGACGACAACUGACGCUGAUGCGCGAAAGCGCGGGGAGCAAACAGG
rnacentral:rRNA from 1 species